rnacentral:rRNA from 1 species
UACAGAGGUCUCAAGCGUUGUUCGGAUUCAUUGGGCGUAAAGGGUGUGUAGGUGGCGCCGUAAGUCGGGUGUGAAAUUUCGGAGCUUAACUCCGAAACUGCAUUCGAUACUGCAGUGCUUGAGGACUGGAGAGGAGACUGGAAUUCCUGGUGUAGCAGUGAAAUGCGUAGAGAUCAUGAGGAAGACCAGUGGCGAAGGCGGGUCUCUGGACAGUUCCUGACACUGAGACACGAAGGCCAGGGGAGCAAACGGG